rnacentral:misc_RNA from 1 species
UUUUGUUUGAAUUUGAGGAAUCAAAUGUUAAAAGAGGGAAGAUAAAUGUGAAGAAAGUACAUGGUGUAGCAUCUUGGGUCUUUUUUAUUUUUUGCUUUUGAGCUAGCUGUCAGAGUUUGUUUUGAAUUGCCCUUUACUAGGAUAUUGAAAAACUGGAAUGUUGGCAAAAAGUGAAGAGCUCAGAAAUGUUCUGUUUUCAAGGAUUUAGGUUUCUUUCUCCUUAAAAUGAUUAACAAAGUUUGGAUCUUUGGAUGUUUGUUCUAGUCGUGGCUGCUAUUUUUGUUGAUCAACAAAUUUUGAUGGAUGAUGAUUUUUUUUCCUUUUUGUGCUUUUCUUGUUUGUGG